GACAAUCAAAGGAGAAUGCACUGGUUUGCGUGGUGUAAGUUGUGUGUGCCAAAGAAAGAAGGUGGAAUGUGAUUUCGAGAUAUUCAUUGUUUUAUCCUAGCCCUGCUUGCGAAAUAGGCUUGGAGAUUAAUUGACAAUCCGGACUCCCUUUGUGCUUGUGUUCUCAAAGCUAAAUAUUAUCUAGAUUGUGAUAUUUUGAAUGCAACUCUGAAAAAGAGAGCCCCAUUCACAUGGCAUAGUGUUAUGUCAGGGGUGCAUAAACUAAAAAGAGGUCAUAUAUAG
rnacentral:rRNA from 1 species